rnacentral:rRNA from 1 species
ACGCUGGCGGCAUGCCUAAUACAUGCAAGUCGAGCGGACUUGAUGAGAAGCUUGCUUCUCUGAUGGUUAGCGGCGGACGGGUGAGUAACACGUAGGCAACCUGCCCUCAAGUUUGGGACAACUACCGGAAACGGUAGCUAAUACCGAAUAAUUGUUUUCUUCGCCUGAAGGAAACUGGAAAGACGGAGCAAUCUGUCACUUGGGGAUGGGCCUGCGGCGCAUUAGCUAGUUGGUGAGGUAACGGCUCACCAAGGCGACAAUGCGUAGCCGACCUGAGAGGGUGAUCGGCCACACUGGGACUGAGACACGGCCCAGACUCCUACGGGAGGCAGCAGUAGGGAAUCUUCCGCAAUGGGCGAAAGCCUGACGGAGCAAUGCCGCGUGAGUGAUGAAGGUUUUCGGAUCGUAAAGCUCUGUUGCCAGGGAAAAACGCUUGGGAGAGUAACUGCUCUCAAGGUGACGGUACCUGAAAAAAAAGCCCCGGCUAACUACCUGCCACCACCCCCGGUAAUACGUAGGGGGCAACCGUUGUCCGGAAUUAUUGGGCGUAAAGCGCGCGCAGGCGGUCAUUUAACUCUGGUGUUUAAUCCCGGG